GAGCGAUGAAACCCUUCGGGGUGGAUUAGCGGCGGACGGGUGAGUAACACGUGGGUAACCUGCCUCAAAGAGGGGGAUAGCCUCCCGAAAGGGAGAUUAAUACCGCAUAACAUUAGUUUUUCGCAUGGAGAACUAAAUAAAGGAGUAAUCCGCUUUGAGAUGGACCCGCGGCGCAUUAGCUAGUUGGUGAGGUAAAGGCUCACCAAGGCGACGAUGCGUAGCCGACCUGAGAGGGUGAUCGGCCACAUUGGAACUGAGACACGGUCCAGACUCCUACGGUAGGCAGCAGUGGGGAAUAUUGCACAAUGGGCGAAAGCCUGAUGCAGCAACGCCGCGUGAGUGAUGAAGGCCUUCGGGUUGUAAAGCUCUGUCUUUUGGGACGAUAAUGACGGUACCAAAGGAGGAAGCCACGGCUAACUACGUGCCAGCAGCCGCGGUAAUACGUAGGUGGCGAGCGUUGUCCGGAUUUACUGGGCGUAAAGGAUGCGUAGGCGGAUUUUUAAGUGAGAUGUGAAAUACCCGGGCUUAACUUGGGUGCUGCAUUUCAAACUGGAAGUCUAGAGUGC
rnacentral:rRNA from 1 species